rnacentral:rRNA from 1 species
CACGUAGGGGGCGAGCGUUAAUCGGAAUUACUGGGCGUAAAGGGUGCGCAGGCGGUUUGGCGAGAAGGAUGUGAAAUCCCGGGGCUUAACCUCGGAACUGCAUUCUUAACUGCCAGGCUAGAGUAUGUCAGAGGGGGGUAGAAUUCCGCGUGUAGCAGUGAAAUGCGUAGAGAUGCGGAGGAAUACCGAUGGCGAAGGCAGCCCCCUGGGAUAAUACUGACGCUCAUGCACGAAAGCGAGGGGAGCAAACAGG